AACAAGGCGUACCUGCGGACCUGCGGAGGGAUCAUUACUGAAUUAAUCAAAGUGAUUGAUUGUGCUGGCAGAUUUUUUUUGCAAGUGCACGUCAGUUACUUAUUAAUCCAUUACACACCUGUGAACCUUUGACUUUUCUUUUUUUUAACUCUCAGCCUCUUAUGUGGCAGCAGGAUUAUGUUCUUUAUUGAACUUUAUCCUUGAGAGAAGGAAAAAAAAAAAGUAUUUUAUUCUACACUC
rnacentral:misc_RNA from 1 species